AUCCCGACUCACCGAACCGUUCGCGCUGUUAAUUUUCUCCGACUGCUUUUCACCAGUUGUGGAAGAUAUGUAGGAAGAAUUCUGUUCAAAGAAAUGCAUUGAAAUUCAUAACAACGAAAGUGAGUCCCUUCACUAGGAUUUCCACGUCGAAAUGUCUCAAAUUCAAUUACUUUUUCAGAACCUUCAUCAGGAAAAUUAAGUUUGUCUCUAUUUUUGGAAAAAAAUCCACUGUAUCGCGUGCGGAGACCAUUUUUUGUACCUUAUUGCUUUUAGUUUGUGCGGGGCAGGUCCCAGUAAUGGAAGCAACACCAAGAACGGAGGUAGCUUUAGCGACAACGGCUUCUUUAAUCAAAGUCUCACGUUCCGCUUGGACCUACGAACAAAUAGUGUUCAUUGACCACGAUUCUGAUGUUGAAGGUUGCGGGCGUGUCUGGCAAGAUUUCGGAGCUCUUUAGGAUACGGGGUUGGUGCACGAUGUAAUUGUCUGGGUACUUCGGUUUCAACUUCGGCGGCAAAACAUAUUCUCCUUCCGGUGCCAACGAUCGAACCGGAAAUGGGACCCACGGCUUGCUCCACUUCUUAAAAAAAAAAAAAAAAUUCAAUUGUCAGUUGAAACUUCAUAAAAUAUCGAUUUUUCGCUCUUCAUUCAACACUCAAUUCAACAGACAUGAAGAUAACAAACUGUACAUAAAAAUGUAGGGAUAUUGUUACAAAAUAUAAUGUAAAACUUUAUCAAAUAAUUGGUAAAUCAUUCUUGGGCAUGUACUAAAAUGCAUCAAAUGUAAAUAAACGUUUUCCGAGCUCUCAUAAGAUGAUAAUGAUUUUACAUCGCUUAAACUUUCAAUUCAAUCAAACGAAGGAACAGAAAAUAUUUUGUUUGGGAGGGAAAUAAAUUUUCAAAAUCGAUUA